UGUAUCUCUGUAGAAAUGAGGGUUAGUUUGCAAACAGUAGUUUUUGAAUAAUUGAUUUGUAACUUAUUUCAGCCAACUCUAGGCAAGAACUCUGUUGAUUCAAGUGGGCUAAGAACUAACUGUUGUAUAUGCAGUGUUUUGCAUGUCCAAACAAAACAUGACCAAAGUUUAAAAGCAUAGAACUUUUAUAUAGCAAAACAAUCAUUGGUUCACCUUGCCUGGGCAAGAUUGUUUCCUACAGGACAGGGUAUGCUCUGUCAUGAACACUAAUAAUGCCAGAAAAUUGAAGUAUUGGCUAUAGAAUACAUACAAAAGGGUUUCAUUUAUUAAAAUUACAAUGAAUAUUCCAAUUCCUUUUCCAGUUCCUUCUCUAAAAUUAUUCCAUUCAUGUCUCAUGAUUCACAUGUCUCAGAUCUGAUUAAAUAAAUUUUGGAAUUUAAAGCAGAAAAGGAUGUGAUCAUGCAUAGGAUUAAAGGCCCCAUUGAAGUCAGCAGCUGUUACAUUUUCAGUGCUAAGCAUGCAUGCUGAACAGAAUGGCCAAUCUAAAAACUACACAGGCAGCCUAUCUUAGUUAGAACACUUAGACACUCAUAGUGUAUGAAUGUGCAGCACUGCUGUUUUAACAGUCCUGUAUGGUACAAGAUUUGGAAAGAUCCAAUUCCAGAGUAAAAUACAGAAUAAAAAAGAUGUAUCUGAUAUACCAUAUGCAUAUUCUAAAUAAAGUUUUGAGCUUAAUACUAAAUGGUAGAGCACUUUAAAGUGAAAGUAUUCAACAGUUAUUUUUUUCCUGUUGCUAUUUCUGGAUAUAACUUUCUUCUGCAAUCCCAUGUCCUGUUUAGUUUCUCCAGUUGGAAAAGAGAGAAAAUAACAUUGACACAGAGAUGAUGGAGCUAAGCAACAGACUUUGGUGUUGGAUCCAGAAUUAAGCAGCAUUCAGAUUUGAGGUUUUGGUGUAGUGCCUCAUUGUGGAAAGGGCUGGCUGCAAAAUUAGUAUCCAGAUUAAAACUUGCUGUUAGUUUGGAUGUUGUUUGAUUUAGACAGGUUUACUAAGCAAGAGAUAAAAGUACAAGGAAUACAAGGAUUGUUACAAAGAGAAGCUUCACAAGUAAAUGGCGAAGCUUAAAGCACUUGCCUAAGGUGGAAAUGUUUUUCUUUCCUUGAUUCUUCUGUUAAAAUGAAUUUUCUUUGCUUAUGCUGAGCAGAAAGGGAAAAAACUAGGUGUUUAUAUCUCGCUUCCAUUAGGUAGGACCUGAAAAAAAAUGAAGCGAUCCCUGCCCUUCGUGAGCUUCUGGAAGAAAGAUAAUUUCCCCCUUUCAUGGGCUUAGCUGGUUUUCAGGAGGGCAUGUCUAGUGAUUUGUUGCAGCUGGGCAUGAUUUUUGACAUGUAUUGCCUUUCUCUGCAUAAUGACCCUUUCUCCAAAUUUUGAAAAAGAAGGAGGAGAGCACCCUGAAACAGAAGAGGGUCACCAAAUAUAUGAGACCGCACAAUCUUGCUGCACCUGGAACUGAAAAAAAUGCAAGUUGCUUUAAAAAUAAUGUAGAGAUAAUUUUUGGCCAAUAAGGAGAAAUGAGGUGGAAAAGAUCUAGCCAAAAAAUCAUGUGAGGUCUAUGAAGAACCAGACACAGCAAAUGCAAUGAAAUCCCAAUUGCAGUCUCUUGAGAUUGUCGCAAGCAGUUCAUUGAAAUGUUUGACAUUUGAGCUGUGCUGACUGCUUUGCUAAGGAUAGCUAGGUGAUGAUGGGUUCUUUCUAGUCCCUCACUGGAUGGGUGUAAAUACUGACAUUUAUGAAUGUGCUAGUUGUAUGAAAACUCCUGCUGGAAUAUUUGUGAAAACUGAAUAUAAGAAGAGAAAAGGCAAAUUCUGUUUUGCUUUUAAGCCAAAAUGCUCAGAAAUCUUUAAGGUGUCCAUUCAUCUCCUAGACAGUGGUUACUCUCCGCUUUCAUUUAAGAAAAAAACAAACAUUUUUCCUAUGUUCCUCACUUGGAGAGAGAAAAGGCAGUAUUUUUGGAAAGUAAAAUAAAUGUCUGCUCAUGGCAACUUAAACUAUUUUAAUUAACUGGGUAGUGACUUAAAGUAAACAUUGAAUAUUCAUGUGUUCCCUUCACAUAGCCCUACUGGAACAGUUGCAUUCAUGCCAGAAUUACUAGGUAGAGAAGCAGUUCAAGGAUAUGUGUAAACCUAAUGAAACUUGAUGGUUGCUUUUUACUAAACGUGUAUUCUCACAUGGCUCUGGCCCAACACAUCCCAAUCCAGGUUCUUCCUGCUCAUUUUGGGGUCAUGGCCAACCAAACUGCUGAUAUAUUUAAUUACUGGACAUUAGUAGACAGCUAAAGAAGGCUGCAUUGUAAAUGUGUAGCUAACUUACCUACACUGUAAAAAGUGUACUGAAAGUGGGUCCAAGGCAAUUGGUGAAGUGCAAAUGGAGCUGUAUUACUUGGUUUUCAAGGUGAAAAUGGAAGUAAUGUCAACUAUACCUUUUCUUUUCUGUUCAUAGUUUUAAAAAUGAACUUUACCCUCCAAGUGUACUGAGUAGCAGUUCAAAUUUCUUUGUGUAUUGAAUUUACAUAAUUACAAAAAAGUCUCAGACAAUUUUAGACUGAAGAUUCUUGGCGUAAGAUUUUGAAAAGCUAUUAACUUGUUUCAGUAUUUUUCUCCUGAAUACUCAAAGGCACUUCUCUUCCAUGAUGGCUCUUUCUACACCAAUUUCUGCUUUCAGCUCUGACCAUUUUGGCUCUAGAAUUGCACAGAGGGCUUAAAAAUCUUUGUAUGGUAGAUGACAAUUUUAUUCACAUGUUCAAAAAUUGUGGGCACGUAUUUGUUCAAACUUUCCAGAAAUAAUUUCCUUCCCACAGACAUAAGGAAAACUUCAUCCUGACAGCCAGAUGUUUUCAGACAGUUAUGAACUAUUGGAAAUGGGAAUAGAAUGGAAACCAUUAAAUUAAUGGAAAUCCUAUAACUUUAAAUGUAGCAAUUGCUGUUGUUUCUACUAUUGCAUACCAUUGUCUAAUUUAUUAAUAUGCCAAAGUUUAUUGGGUAAGAGUAAUGAAAGCUUAGUACUAGAAAACUUAAUUAAAUCACUCUUCCAUGAAAUGAUUGUCAAAUAGUAGUGGGAGACAAAGAUGGGGUUACUGUUUCAAUUCCCCAGUUUAAAGGUUAGUUAAAAUAAUUAGAAGGAUUCCAUUGUACUUAAAAAUAAGAGGAAGGGGUUAUCAAAAAUGAAUUCCCUAUUGAAUGGCAGCUUCUAGCCCCCAAAAAUACUUACCUGAAUAGCUAUCUUCUCAGUUUCUGUGUUGCCUCUUUGGAACAUUUAUGUAGACUCAUAAUAUAAAAAUCUUCCUUUCACUUUAUGCCAUUUUGCAUAAACUCUUCAUGUAAUAGCAAAGCCUAUGCAAAAAAAAAUUUAAAACAUCAUAAUCUAAAGUACAUGUGCUACAACAGCCUCCUCCUCCCCAUUUGCAAACACCCCCUCACUUUCAAUAUUGCAAUGAACUUCUUCCCUUUUUUUGCACUUCAUGGAAGUCUUUGGCUUGAUUUUCCUUACAUAGAAAUUAGCAAAGUUUUGCUCGUGUAAAACCUGUGUAGAUAGUCAGAAACUUAUUUUUUCUUAUUUAAUCAGACAGUAAAACCUUCCUGUGAAACACUCAUGGCUAAAGACAAAGUACCGUAAGUCUAUAAUGUGUGUAAAUUAGGAUAAGAUAAUAGGCAGCUUUCACUGUGAAGUUUGCAUUUAUACCCUUUUCCCCCUAAAAACGCUGAGAAACUUCUGUUUUACAGUAAAGAUUCUAAUCUGUUCUAAGCAGGCCAUGACUUCCAAAGCAUUAUUUAAAUGCCUCAACUGAAUAAAAGUAUUCUUUCAUGCCAUUUCAUACACUGAAGUACCAAGAGGGUAAAUAACUUGCAAUAUCAUUUUUGACUGACUUGACUUUGAAAAAGGCACAAGCUGCAUAAACAACUGCUCAGUCGUUAGGUGCUUAACUGCAUCUCUAAAUGGUCCCAUAUGUUAGUCUGCUAAUGUUGGUAAUGAUUAUAAACAUCUCCGUUCAUCACAUUAAUGAGUUAUAGCCAAUAGAAAAGGACAAAAAUCUAUAACUUUUCCACAAACUUAGUUAAAUGUCAAGGUUUUUAAAGGCCUAGUUAGCAAGUAUAUUAGAUGAGAUAUGUCAGUUUCCCAAUUUACGACUCUGACUUGUCUCUUGUGAUUCCUUAUAGCCUCUAGCCAUUCUCCUCUUACCUGAGGCAUUCUCUGGCAAAAACCUGAUGCUUCCAGUCAUUCUGCAUUCUUGUGUUCCUUCAAAAAUAAUUGGACAGGCACCUCUCCAUAAACAAUCAUCAUUAGUCAUAUAAGGUACACAGAUAAGAAUACCACGCAAAAAGUUUCAAUAGAAUGUCUUGAGCCAAAUAAUAAUAAUUUGGCCAGCAUGCUAAAAAUGUGAUUGACAGGGAGUUAAUGCACUUAACACUUUUUCCAGCAGGCUGUUAAAAUUAGUUCCUUGAUGCUCAAAAAGUCCUGCUCCCAGAAAAGUGACACCGACAUUGACCAGUGAGUUUGUUGCUGUUCAGUAACCUGCUCCAUUUCUAGACUAUAUGAUUAAAGUCAUUAUGGGAACUGUCAGCAGGAGGG